rnacentral:rRNA from 1 species
AGAACGAACGCUGGCGGCGUGGAUAAGACAUGCAAGUCGAACGGGCUUAAUUUUAGAGCAAUCUAGGGUUGAGCCAGUGGCGAACGGGUGCGUAACACGUGAGUCAUCUGCCUGAAAGUGGGGGAUAGCUCGCCGAAAGGCGAAUUAAUACCGCAUGUGGUUGUGAAACCAAAGCCGGGGCAACCUGGCGCUUUUAGAGGAGCUCGCGGCCUAUCAGCUUGUUGGUGAGGUAACGGCUUACCAAGGCAACGACGGGUAGCUGGUCUGAGAGGACGACCAGCCACACUGGAACUGAGACACGGUCCAGACACCUACGGGUGGCAGCAGUCGAGAAUUUUUCUCAAUGGGGGAAACCCUGAAGGAGCGACGCCGCGUGGAGGAUGAAGGCUUUCGGGUUGUAAACUCCUGUCAUUUGGGAACAAAGUCUUAACGUUAACUGCGUGGAGAUUUGAUUAGUACCGAAAGAGGAAGAGACGGCUAACUCUGUGCCAGCAGCCGC